CUCGACUGUCUAAGGAAAAUUCAAGGAGUCUGCUUCACGUCUGCUUGUACAAACAUGUCUCCUAACCUGACACUAAUACAGUAACAAGAGGAGGAAGUACUGUGAGAGGAAUGAUACAUAAUAUUUGAUAGGACAGGAGUGAACACAGAGAAGUGCUAGCCUCACCUUUACUUACUGGACUUUUUCCCAACCUGUGUAUCAGCGAGGAAAAAAAUGAUGCUCUCAAAGAGGUAGAUUAUGGAAUUAUAUCUGGAUGGAGGAGGAGGAACAUCUCAACAAUUUGAAUUCUAUCAAGAAAUUAAUGUAAUUUGACAUCAAUUUUAUGAUUAUUGAAGGGAGACCUGCCAUCUUGUUUGAUAAAAUUAAUAAAAUAUAGACUUCUUUAAGAAGAUAUAUAUGAGAGAUAUUUAUAAUUUUUUCUAAUAUUUUCGUAGUUGUGAUGCAGUUGAUGGAUUACCA